UGAGCAAUCUGCCCUUCUCAUCGGAAUAAGCGUUGGAAACGACGUCUAAUGCCGAAUACGACCUCCUUUCGCAUGAUCGGAGGUGGAAAGCUCCGGCGGAGAAGGAUGAGCUCGCGGCCUAUCAGCUAGUUGGUGUGGGUAAUGGCCCACCAAGGCGACGACGGGUAGCUGGCCUGAGAGGGUGACCGGCCACACUGGGACUGAGACACGGCCCAGACUCCGUAGGAGG
rnacentral:rRNA from 1 species